rnacentral:tRNA from 1 species
UGCGGGUUGGGGAAGUGGCAUCCCACGUGGCUCAUAACCACGAGAUCGGCGGUUCGACUCCGUCACCCGCAAC